rnacentral:rRNA from 1 species
AUUGAACGCUGGCGGCAAGCCUAACACAUGCAAGUCGAACGAGUGGCGGACGGGUGAGUAAUGUCUGGGAAACUGCCUGCUGUAGGGGUAUAACUACUGGAAACGGUAGCUAAUACCGCAUACCAUCGGAUGUGCCCAGAUGGGAUUAGCUAGUAGGUGGGGUAAAGGCUCACCUUGGCGACGAUCCCUAGCUGGUCGGAGAGGAUGACCAGCCACACUGGAACUGAGACACGGUCCAGACUCCUACGGGAGGCAGCAGUGGGGAAUAUUGCACAAUGGGUGCAAGCCUGAUGCAGCCAUGCCGCGUGUAUGAAGAAGGCCUUCGGGUUGUAAAGUACUUUCAGCGGGGAGGCGUUACCCGCAGAAGAAGCACCGGCUAAGAAAGUGCCAGCAGCCGCGGUAAUUC